ensembl:lncRNA
CUAGCUUAUAAAUACACCACAACAUCACUGUCAGUACACAGUGGGCGGGAGAGACAGGAAGAGAGGAAGAUGUCACAGGUGAAGGAAAUAAUGACGCAAAGGAUGGGUAGAGAAGAAAGAGACACACCUUAAAGAAUAAUAGUUGAAGGGGGGUCGAAGUUGUAGACAACAAAUACUUGGCAUUUGGUGUGGUCUCUACAGUGCAAAAGAAUGGUGAUGGAACAGUUAUUUGUGGCUGUGCUAAUGAUGUCUGCACACCUAGCAGUCUCAUAUCCUCUGACUACAGAGAGCUAUUACAUGGAUGGAGGGAGACAAUGCAGACUGUGUCCACCAGUGGCGGUUCUGUGGUGGGGCCAGGGGGGGCCAGUGCCCCUGUGACAACAAUUAUGGACCCCCUUGUGGCCCCCCUGAAAGUGGAGUCAUUAUCAGAGUUCCUGUUCAGAGUGCUCUCCCUGUCGAGAUGGUUCCUACACAACACGAUUGAAUGCUGAGUCCAGUUGUCAUUCCUGCUUCAAAGACUGCAAACGUGAUUUGCACCUGGUGGAGGAUGAGCCGUGUACUCCUGUAUCGAACGCUAGAUGUCGCUGUGAGGCUGGUUUUACCUGCACCGACAAAGAAGACCAGACAGGAAACUGUAGAGACUGUGAGAAGGUCCCUCAGCUGCCCCCACCUCCCAUGCCACCUAGCAAUGUAGUGGGCAUCAGAAUCAACCAGACAGGAACUUCCUCUGAACACAGCAGGACUUCCUCUUCCGCUGGACGCUGUCAACCUCCUAACUGUGACACUCCACAAUCACCAGUCUCACAAGCAGCUGACACCAGCAAACACUUGGCAGCCAUUUUGUGUCCUAUGGUGGUCAUUGGAAUCCUAGCCGUUAUCAUUCUGUUAUGUAUCCGUCGCCCAGGAAAUGAAGCCUGUUUCAAACAAGCUCUCAAGUUCUGUAACAAGGGAGUAAGAGAAACGUUGCCUAACAAGACCAAAGAGCCACCUCAUCAGCACAAUGCCAGAGAGGCACAGCCCAGUAUUAAGCACCAGACAGUGGAUCCACCACCUAUUACAGCAGCAAAUAUGGGCCCGGUCCAUGUCCACAAUGCUGGAACAGUCAUCUUCAGUUUACUCAACCAGUUCACUGGUAUGGGUGGAGGGAUGGAAGGGAGAGGGCAGAAAGAGAGGGAUGAGGAAGGAUGUCCGACCCACCCCACACCCUCCCCUAACAUCCAUCUAUCCCAGGAGGAAAGGGAUGGGGAGAUGGACUGUGUAUUCUUCCCUUCACAGGAACAAGGGAAGGACAGUCACGUUUCCAAAGAGGAGGUGCAUUGAGGGGAGGGGGAUUGAGGACAGAGGACGCUCCAAGUGAAAACUUCCCUUCUAGGAUCAGUUUAGCCAACCCUACAUCCUAAUGUUAAUCAUAAGGAGGAUGAAGACUGGUCUGACCCUGGAUCAGUGGUAAGGGACAACAUCUACCUGGGGCUCUAUUCAGUCUGUAUCACUGAAGCGUUACAGAUUGUUUGAUUGAGCCGACAUAUGCAGUGUUUAACGUGAAUGCAGUCUCCACUGACGCGAGAACAUUACCUUUACAUUUCUAUCAGGCUGUAAAGCUGAACUUCUGAGAUACAUGGAGCCCUUACUCUCAGAAGAACACUGGUGAAUCCCACAACUCUAGAAUGGCCAUUAUUUCCUGUUCUAGACUUAGAUAGAGCUAGGCAUCUCACUAUGGUGGUCAUGUACACAUCCACUUGCUCUCAUUUUAUUGAACUGUAUAAUAAGCUUUCAGUCUCAACUGCUGCAAACUGUUUUUUCUGUGUUCAUGUGGCACCUUGAACUGUUUUCGCACAAAUUAAAACCAAAAUAUGAAAUAUAAUUUUUCAAUGAAUACAGGUGAUGGGGCAAUUGUAUGACAUUACAGUAGGCCUGUCACAUUUGUGAAUCUGUUCUUUAUUUAAAAUACAGCACUGUAUGUUUUAAACAGCCACUACUAUGUAAGAGUAAACACUGGCAUAAAGCAUAGAUACAGCAAAAAUCAUAAUUGUAAUGAAGGUGUAAAACAUCUUCAACAUAAACAUGUACAGUACAUGUAUUCAGCACACAAAUGUUUGUGUGUGUGUGUGUGUCUGUCUCUCUCUGUGUCUCUUGUUCACUCUUCGUUUCUCACUCUCCUUCUGCUCUUUCUCGGUCACAGACUCCCACUCAUCUUUAGCCUGUAUCUUCAUACUUCAAAGUGUCUUUUUGUCCUAUUUUCUUGUCCUUUCUGAAAGUCCUAGAUACAGAAGCCACUGCAUUAAACCAAUACAGCAGCCUGUCUAGCCUUCAGGUUAGUUUCACUUCAAUGGGAAUGUGAGGUAGUCUGUUUGUCUCCCAGCUCGCUUGUGAGUUCUCAUCCUCUCCUUCGACACCCACUUCCUCCAUCAUACGUCCAGUAGCAGCUCUGGCUUUCCACACACUUCCUGGACCGGCAUGGGCACUUCCUCCUCCGCUGUGCUCUGAUUCGCUGGAGUAGUCUUUUUGGGAGACCAGAAGC